rnacentral:tRNA from 1 species
GCCCGGGUGGUGGAAAUGGUAGACACGAGGGACUUAAAAUCCCUUGGCCUUUUUGGCCGUGCCGGUUCAAGUCCGGCCUCGGGCACCA